rnacentral:lncRNA from 1 species
CUUAAAUACAGCAGCUCUCAACCAGGGCAGGUAUCAGAAUCUGGGAAUGCUGUGUGAUUUGGGAAAAAAAAAUGUUCAGUAUUAUAAUAGUUUAUAUUUGGGUAACAAUAUUAAAUGUAAGCAGGAGAUAUUUAUGUUUAUCAGAAGAGACUAUGAGUUGGAAAAGUAAUGGUUAAACACUGCUUUCAGAGCUCAAGAGAUGAUAUGCUUUCUGGGUUUAAUUCAAAAUCCAUAUGUAAGUAAAAUGGGUUUACCCAUUGGAGAUAAAGUUUGGCUACAGUAUAGGGUGAUAUUAUACCAUUUGCUUAGUUGUCGGGAUUU